ACGGCUCAGUAACACGUGGAUAACCUGCCCAAGGGUCUGGGAUAACCCCGGGAAACUGGGGAUAAUACCGGAUGGAUCACUAGUGCUGGAAUGCUUGGUGGUCGAAAGGCAACGCCUUUGGAUGGGUCUGCGGCGGAUUAGGUUGACGCCGGUGUAACGUACCGGCGUGCCUGUAAUCCGUACGGGUUGUGGGAGCAAGAGCCCGGAGAUGGAUCCUGAGACACGAAUCCAGGCCCUACGGGGCGCAGCAGGCGCGAAAACUCUACAAUGCAGGCAACUGCGAUAGGGGGACAUCGAGUGGCAUCCACCUUGGGUGCCUGUCCAACCGUCUAAAAAACGGUUGUUAGCAAGGGCCGGGUAAGACCGGUGCCAGCCGCCGCGGUAAUACCGGCGGCUCGAGUGGUGGCCGAUAUUAUUGAGUCUAAAGGGUCCGUAGCCGGCUUUGCAAGUCCCCUGGGAAAUCCAGCGGCUUAACCGUUGGGCUUUCAUGGGAUACUACAUUGCUUGGGACUGGGAGAGGUAGGAGGUACUCGGGGGGUAGGGGUGAAAUCCUGUAAUCCUCCGGGGACCACCGGUGGCGAAGGCGUCCUACCAGAACAGGUCCGACGGUGAGGGACGAAAGCUAGGGGCACGAACCGGAUUAGAUACCCGGGUAGUCCUAGCCGUAAACGAUGCCCGCUAGGUGUCACGACGGUCAUGAAUCGUCGUGGUGCCGUAGGGAAGCCGCGAAGCGGGCCACUUGGGAAGUACGGCCGCAAGGCUGAAACUUAAAGGAAUUGGCGGGGGAGCAC
rnacentral:rRNA from 1 species